AUGUCUCCGUGAAGACUAGUUUUUUAUUGAUUUUCUGAACCACCUUUAAUUGCAUUGAAUUGCAAUGUGUUGAAGACAAUGGCUUGGAGUUAUAGUUAUUGUUUCAUUUCUUCUUUCAUUCAUUCUUUGGUCCCAGCCAAUGCAUCCCUACUCACUCCUCACAACAACAACAACAACAACAACAAAAGACAUGGAACUAGGAAGUUGGAACAGCACGGUACAGAGUCUACUUCGUACCCACGUUCACCUUCUGUUCAAAACUCAAAUGGGUAUUACACUGUCACUACAUCUCACAUAUAUGUGUCUCUUUGAAUAACAGUUGAAUUCAAUUCCAAUCUUCACUGUCAUAUUGGAAUUCUUUUUCCAUCAAAAUAUGGUCUUGUGCUACAUAUUUGUUUUUCUAGUCACUUAUUACUGUAUUCGUCUUGUGUUCAUCAUAAUUAGUUCAACUGGUCCUUGUCUGUUUCUGGGUAUUCAACUGUUACACUGAUUGAUAUUUGACAGUCUUUUUUUUUUUAUUUCAGUCAGUCUGAACUCAACUUUACUCAGACUUCUUUUGCUUUUUAUAAUUUUUGCAGUAACCAUUUUUUUAAAUUUAAUUUUUGGUUAUUUAUAAAAAUUCAUAGAGUGUAUUAAAGUUUUCAUUUCUGUUUAUGGGCCUCAAAUAUACCAAAAGAGGUUUAAAUUGAGGUUUUACCAAGUUUUAAUUCAAGUUAAUACUUUUGGUAGUGCCAUCUGCCAAAGCAGUGGUUUUCAAGUAUAGUCCUUGAAAAACCUUGUGGGGGCGUUUGUAUUUAGUAUAUAAAGUCUCUUUUUUCUUUUUUUUUCUUUUUUUUUUUUAAUUAUAAUUUUCAUACUAGUAAUACCACUUUGUUCAGAAUUUGUGAAUUUUGGAAUGUGAUUCCCAAGAUUUGAUCCAAGAUUUUAUAGAAAUAUUUGGGUUUUCAUUCCUAUUUUUUAAUUUUUAAUUAACCAUUUGUUUCUGGUUUAAAUUUUGUUAAUUGGGUUCUCAAAACUAACAUCUGUGAGCUGCAAUCUUGGUUUUGCUGUACUGAAACGUAAGAAUAUGACUAAUGAAAGUCUUGAUAACAUUUCACAAAAAGAGGAACCGGUUGGUGAUGAGAGAGCCUCCUUGUAGAUUUCAUGGAGCUUCCUUUCAUGGUUCUGUCUUCAAUCUGGUGUGUACCAUCGUUGGUUCCGGAAUUAUGAGUUUGCCUGCCACAUUGAAAGUCUUGGGUCUUGUCCUUGGGGCAGCACUUUCUUAUGGGGAUUUAAUGGGUGAUGCCUUUGGAAGGAUUGGGAAAAUAUUGCUUCAAGUCUGUGUUAUCAUCAACAACAUUGGUGUUCUUAUUGUGUAUUUGAUAAUAAUUGAGGAUGUGCUUUCGGGAUCCACUUCCAGUGGGGUUCCUCAUUCUGGUGUUCUACAAGAGUGGUUUGGGGAACACUGGUGGACUGGACGUGCCUUUGUUCUUAUUGUCUUAACUGUGGCAAUAUUUGUUCCAUUUGAUAUGCUUUAAGUGUAUUGAUUCAUUGAGAUUUUCAUCAGUCAUAUCAUUUUCUCUGGCAGUUUUGUUCCUUAUUGUUGUCAUUGGAGUAACAAUUUACAAAUUGAUAGUGGGAAGCAUAGAGACACCAACACUGUUUCCAAGUGUCACUGAUUUGGCAUCCUUUUGAGAUCUGUCCCUGUGGUUGUUUUUGCUUAUGUCUGCCACUACAAUGUUCACACAAUUGAGAAUGAACUUGAAGAUUCUCCACAGAUGAUAGGAGUUGUACAGACUUCACUUGCUCUCUGCACCACUGUUUACAUAAUGACCGGGUUGUUUGGGUUCCUUCUCUUUGGUGAUUCAACUCUUUCUGACUCGCUCUCCAAGUUUGACACUGACCUUGGUGUCCCCUACAGUUCUCUUUUUAACGAUGUUGUUCGUAUAAGCUAUGCUGGCCAUAUCAUACUAGUAUUUCCCAUGCCUUCUUUCCAUUGAGGCUCAACUUGGAUGGUCUCCUUUUUCCCUCAGCCAGGCCCUUGGCUUCAGACAACUUUAGAUUUGCAAUCAUCAGCAUGGGGCUUGUUGUAAUUAUUCUCUUGGGUGCAAUAUUUAUACCCAGCAGGUGGGUAGCUUUUGAGUUCACUGGAGCAACUGUUGGAGUUCUACUGGCAUUCAUCUUUCCUGCUUCCAUUAGUCUCAAGGACCCUCAUGGUAUUGGCACAAGGAAGGACAAGGUCACAUCCAUCUGCAUGAUCAUUCUUGCAGUAUUCUCAAAUGCGAUAGCCAUUUACAGUGAUGCAUAUGCUCUGUUGACGGAAGAAGGCUUGACCAAAAUUUCCUUAAAUUGCGAUUGGUAAUGAGGGUUUCUAAUAUAUUUUUUUUCUUGCUAUGGUUCUAAAAGGAGAGAAAUAUAGUUUAUACAUUUUAGGUUCACUCCCUAGGUACAUCAUUGUAUUGUUCACAGCUUAUGCUGAAUAAUGUAAUUUGUAGUUAAAACCUAUGAAUUAUAGAUUUACAUCUUACUCCACUGCACUA